rnacentral:rRNA from 1 species
CCUACGGGCGGCAGCAGUGGGGAAUAUUGGACAAUGGGGGAAACCCUGAUCCAGCAAUGCCGCGUGUGUGAAGAAGGCCUGCGGGUUGUAAAGCACUUUCGGCGGGAAAGAAAAGUUGUGCGUUAAUACCGCGCGACCUUGACGUUACCCGCAAAAGAAGCACCGGCUAACUCCGUGCCAGCAGCCGCGGUAAUACGGAGGGUGCAAGCGUUAAUCGGAAUUACUGGGCGUAAAGCGCACGUAGGCGGGCAAUUAAGUCGGAUGUGAAAUCCCCGGGCUUAACCUGGGAACUGCAUCCGGAACUGGCACAGUAGAGGGCAGGAGGGGAGGUGGGGAACACACGGGGAGCGGUGAGAUGCGGAGAGAUCAGGCGGAAUAGCAGGGGCGAAGGCGGCUUUCUGGACUGGAACUGACACUGAGGUGCGAAAGCGUGGGUAGCGAACAGGAUUAGAUACCCUUGUAGUU